rnacentral:misc_RNA from 1 species
UACGUAGGUGACAAGCGUUAUCCGGAUUUACUGGGCGUAAAGGGCGUGUAGGCGGUCUUGCAAGUCAGAAGUGAAGUUCCUGAGCUCAACUCGGGCGCUGCUUCUGAAACUGUAGGACUUGAGUGCUGGAGGGGAUAGCGGAAUUCCUAGUGGAGCGGUAAAAUGCGCAGAUAUUAGGAAGAACACCGGUGGCGAAGGCGGCUAUCUGGACAGUAACUGACGCUGAGGCGCGAAAGCGUGGGGAGCAAACAGG